GUCAAUACAUUGCUAUUAAUAAAACUCCAACAGCCACUAAUAAGGUUUUGACUGAUGAUAAGGUAAUAAAAACUACUUUGUAUAGGAAGUACAUGGGUGCCUGUGCCUGUCUAGGGUUGGUGAAAGUCCACUUAAGUUUACGGUGAAGAUAGGUAUCAAACUGGAAAAUCCACACCUAUUUAAAAGUUAUAUAGUCCAUUGAAUGCCAGAAGGUUAAAGAGGCCUUAUUUCUAAGAGUUUAUUGUCAGUAAUAAUGCUUCAGAAUAUCCAAUUUAAAUGUAUAGUGUAAAUAUGUAAAUAUUUUACUUUGAGUCUCUUUUUGACUGGCAUUUCUGUGUUUCUGAAACAUAUAAUAACCCGUAAGCACUAUUGUUUAAAAUGUUGUCAAAUAAUCCUUUUAUGUACUUGCUAUCAAACUUCUUCUCCAGGUAUGAAAUAUGUUACAAGACAAGGUGCAAAUUUAAACAAUGCUGGUGUUGAAAU
rnacentral:lncRNA from 1 species